rnacentral:snRNA from 1 species
GGCUGUAAGAGUGAUCUGGCUAAGACAUCUCUCACCCCAUUGAUUGCCAGCGUUGAUUCAGCUGAUCUGACUGGCUAGGUGGGUGUCUCUUUCCUCCUUCACUGCUCCAUGUUCGACCCUCCCAAAGCUGUAGUCUAAGAGGAUGACCACCAAUAAAGAAGGACAGUUUCCUUGGUCAAGGGUAUAUGAGCUUCAAAGAUCUCUUCUUCCAUAGUGCAUCACAGUAGGGGUUAAGGCUUCAACAUACAAAUUUUGAGGAGACAAAAAUAUUCAGUCUAUAGCA